rnacentral:rRNA from 1 species
CCUACGGGUGGCUGCAGUGGGGAAUAUUGGGCAAUGGGCGCAAGCCUGACCCAGCAACGCCGCGUGAAGGAAGAAGGCUUUCGGGUUGUAAACUUCUUUUCGCAGGGACGAAGAAAGUGACGGUACCUGAGGAAUACGCUACGGAUAACUACGUGCCAGCAGCCGCGGUAAUACGGAGGGGGCAAGCGUUAUCCGGAUUUAUUGGGUGUAAAGGGCGGGUAGGCGGGGGCGCAAGGCAGAUGUGAAAACUCAGGGCUCAACCCUGGGCCUGCAUUUGAAACUGUGUUUCUUGAGUGCUGGAGAGGGAAGCGGAAUUCCGGGUGUAGCGGUGAAAUGCGUAGAUAUACGGAGGAACACCAGUGGCGAAGGCGGAUUGCUGGACAGUAACUGACGCUGAGGCGCGAAAGCGUGGGGAGCAAACAGGAUUAGAUACCCCUGUAGUC